UACGUAGGGUGCAAGCGUUAAUCGGAAUUACUGGGCGUAAAGCGUGCGCAGGCGGCUUUGCAAGACAGAUGUGAAAUCCCCGGGCUCAACCUGGGAACUGCAUUUGUGACUGCAUGGCUAGAGUACGGUAGAGGGGGAUGGAAUUCCGCGUGUAGCAGUGAAAUGCGUAGAUAUCUGGAGGAACACCGGUGGCGAAGGCGGCGUCCUGGACUGUAACUGACACUGAUGAACGAAAGCCAGGGUAGCAAACGGG
rnacentral:rRNA from 1 species